AGUGAACGCUGGCGGUAGGCCUAACACAUGCAAGUCGAACGGCAGCACAGUAAGAGCUUGCUCUUACGGGUGGCGAGUGGCGGACGGGUGAGGAAUACAUCGGAAUCUACUUUUUCGUGGGGGAUAACGUAGGGAAACUUACGCUAAUACCGCAUACGACCUACGGGUGAAAGCAGGGGAUCUUCGGACCUUGCGCGAUUGAAUGAGCCGAUGUCGGAUUAGCUAGUUGGCGGGGUAGAGGCCCACCAAGGCGACGAUCCGUAGCUGGUCUGAGAGGAUGAUCAGCCACACUGGAACUGAGACACGGUCCAGACUCCUACGGGAGGCAGCAGUGGGGAAUAUUGGACAAUGGGCGCAAGCCUGAUCCAGCCAUACCGCGUGGGUGAAGAAGGCCUUCGGGUUGUAAAGCCCUUUUGCUGGGAAAGAAAAGCAGCAGGUUAAUACCCCGCUGUUCUGACGGUACCCAAAGAAUAAGCACCGGCUAACUUCGUG
rnacentral:rRNA from 1 species